UGCUUCUGUUUUGGCUACUAUUGUUGCAUAGCAAAUUACCCCUUAACUCAGAAGCUUAAAUAACUUUUUAAUUUUGCUUAUGAUUUUAUGGGUCAGGAAUUUGGGGUGGAAAACAGGUAUGGCUUAUCUCUGCUUCAAGGUGUCUGGGGCUUUAGCUGGGGCUAAAACUCAAACUAGACACACACUCCCACACCAAUAUUACUACUGCAACAUGGAAUACAGUCUUACAUUUCUUUACAUUUUGUUAGGGGCAGAACUGUGUCCCUCCAAAUUAAUAUGUUGAAGUACCUCAGAAUGGGACUGUAUUUGGAGAUAGGGUCUUCAAAGGGGUAAUUAAGUGAGUGAGGUCAUUAGGGUGGGUCCUAAUCCUAAUGGUUGGUGUGGUGAUAAGAAGAGCGGAUUAAGACAGAGCCAUGCACAGAAGACCUUGUGAAGACCCAGGAAGAAGACAGCCAUCUAUCUACACACCAAGGAGAGGAGCCUCAGAAGAAACCAGCCAUGCCAACUCCUUGAUCUGGGACUUCCAGCUUCCAGAAUUACUGGAAGAGGCUUCUGACCACCUGAGCAGCCAGUGGCACCUGACAGCACUUUUAGCCGCAGGCACACGGUCUGAUCACACAGGCUUCCCGCAGAAGCCCCACCCACGGCCUGCUCCCCUCUACGCUGGCAGAACGGAAGCAUCCGCAUCCCAGACCGCGAGGCUUGCGGCCCACCAAUAACUCAAUAGAGCAUCCACGGUGGAAGAGCGAUUGUGACCUGAAUACGCGUGUAGGCAGAGCAGCGGCCCCCGCACCCUCGAUUAUCUGUGCUGAAGGCAGGACCUUGGGACUGGGUGUGAUGCCCUCCAUCAUUUGCACUGGGAGGGGAUUUAUUUGGCUCUGGAAGUGUGAGGUCAAGAAGUGUUGACUUAGGGCCCCUCCCGGGCUUCAGGGAAUCCCUGAAAUUCUAUGCAAACUUUGUAUUUGUGUAUAGAUACACAUUUUCCUGGAGGAGGGGCCUCAGUUGUCAGAUAUUCAGAGGGGUGUGUAACCCCCAAAGGUUAGGAAUCAUUACUUUGGGACUGAGUCAGAUAAUGCUUUGUUGAUUUAAUAUUAACUGGAGCUCAUUUAAAAUUAGUUUACCUUUCUAUUCAGUUGUCUUGGGAUUUGGCUAAGUGGUGGGAAAAUGUUAGAGUGAAAAAUGUGUCAUUGAUUAACCAGUGGGAGUUUAAUCCAGCAGUUAAGAGCCCAGGGUCUGCAGUGGGACUGCUGGGGUUCAAGGUCCAGCUCUGCUGUUCUCUAGCUGCAUGGUCUUGGGACUGGAGACGUUACUGUUGGCAGAGUCUUUGUGGCAGGAAGACGUCAAGGCUGUCCUUUGAGCUCUCCCACAUGCUCAGAACAGGCCGGGUCCUCCCACAGCGUCCCUCUUUUCUCCUCCCAGAUCAUUUAACGCUGGCUUGGUCUUGAGGGCCAAUUCAAGAACCAAUUUCUCAGUAUCUCCCAGCACAUGCCCUAUUCCAGCCUGGUUUAUUCCUUUCUUCUUUUUAAAAAAAUAUUAAAAAAAAGUAAAGUAUAGUUGAUGUACAAUGUUAUGUAAGUUACAGGUGUAUUAUGUAGUGAUUCACAAUUUUUAAAAGUUAUACUCCAUUUAUAGUUAUUAUAAAAUAUUGGCUGUGUAUUUCCUAUGCUGUGGGAUAUAUCUUUCUAGCUCAUUUUAUACCUAAUAGUUUGUGCUUCUUUCUCCACUACCCCUAUGUUGCCCCUUCCCCUUCUCUUUCCCCACCUAGUAACCACUAGUUUGUUUUCUUUUUCAGUUAUCUUCACUAGUUUGUUGUAUUUUUCAGAUUUCACAUGUAAAUGAUAUCAUACAGUAUUUGUCUUUCUCUGUCUGGCUUAUUUCACUUAGCAUAAUGCCCUCCAAGUCCUUCUAUGUUGCUGUAAAUGGCAAAAGUUCAUUCUUUUUUAUGGCUGAGUAGUAUUCUGUUGUGUGUGUGUGUAUACACACACACACACACGUACAUAUAUAUACAUAUACAUACAUAUAUACACACACAUAUAUAUGCCACGUCUUUAUCCAUGCAUCUGUUGAUGGACACUUAGGUUGCUUUCAUAUCUUGGCAAUUGUAAAUAAUGCUGAUAUGAAUAUUGAGGUGCAUGUAUCUUUUCAAAUUCAUGGUUUGUUUUUUUUUUUUGGAUAUAUAUACAAGAGUGGGAUUGCUGGGUCAUAUGGUAGUUCUGUGUUUAGUUUUUUAAGGAACCUCCAUACUGUUUUCUGCAGUGGCUGCACUGAUUUACUUUCCCACCAACAGUGUAUGAGGGUCCCCUUUUCUCCACAUCCUUGCCAACAUUUGUUAUUUAUGUUCUUUUUGCUGAUAGCCAUUCUGACAGGUGUGAGGUGAUACCUCAUUGUGGUUUUGGUAUCUCUUUCUUCUUAAUAGCCUGUAACCUCCACAUAAACAGACACCUGCACAUGGGUUUUAUAUAAAUAUAUACAUAUAUAUAUGAAAUUGAGUGUCCCUUCUUAUAUUAAGCACUAUAUCUACCUACCUAUCCAUCUGUCUAACUGUCUAUCUCCUCAUUUAGGCCUUACAACAACCUUAGUUCAAUUUUACAGAAGAGAAAAUUGAGGCACAGACAGGUAAGUGAUUUUUCCUAAAUCCACAAGCUGUAAACAGCAAAUCUGAGAUUGCUCCAGAUACAUAUAUAGCUUAAAGCCAGUGGAGCUUGCUGUGUUAUGUAGUCACUUACUUCCUUGUAACUUCACUUGCAGUGCUGUCUUAUGGUAUUUAAAUUUUUCAUGUUAUUUUAUCCUCAGAAGGCUGUAAAUUCCUUGAAGACAGAGAUGAUUCCUUAGACUACUUUUCACACCUCAUGGUACCUAGGACAACAUCUUGGGCUUAAGGGUACUCUAUAAACACUUGCGUAUGGAUUAUUAAAUGAUAAAAUGUAUAUGGGAAACAGGUGAAAUAUGUUGUGUAUUUAGUUUGAUAAUUUAAGUACUUUCUUGUACUAUAAGCAGAUAGGCUUUUU